GGGCUUGUGGUCUAGUGGAUACGACGUCCGCCUCCGAUUUCUGAGGUAGCGGAAGGUCCCAGGUUCGAUCCCUGGCUGGCUCG